rnacentral:rRNA from 1 species
ACUCUAGGCGGUGGAUCACUCGGCUCAUGGGUCGAUGAAGAACGCAGCAAACUGUGCGUCAUCGUGUGAACUGCAGGACACAUGAACAUCGACAUUUUGAACGCAUAUCGCAGUCCAUGCUGUUAUGUACUUUAAUUAAUUUUAUAAAACUAAAAAAUUAAAAAUGGAUAAAUAAAAACUUUGCAUACAAGAAUUAAUAAAAAUGUUAUAACGAAUUUAAUUAAAUGUUUUAUCAUUAUAUAUAAAGAAUUUAUGGCAAGAUAAAGUUAUAUACAACCUCAACUCAUAUGGGACUACCCCCUGAAUUUAAGCAUAUUAAUUAGAGGAGGAAAAGAAAAUAAAAAGGCUUUUUUUAAAAGCGGCGAGCGAAAAGAAAACAGUUCAGCACUAAGUCACUUUGUCUAUGUGGCAAAUGUGAGAUGCAGUGUAUGGAGCGUCAAUAUUCUAGUAUGAGAAAUUAACGAUUUAAGUCCUUCUUAAAUGAGGCCAUUUACCCAUAGAGGGUGCCAGGCCCAUAUAACGUUAAUGAUUACUAGAUGAUGUUUCCAAAGAGUCGUGUUGCUUGAUAGUGCAGCACUAAGUGGGUGGUAAACUCCAUCUAAAACUAAAUAUAACCAUGAGACCGAUAGUAAACAAGUACCGUGAGGGAAAGUUGAAAAGAACUCUGAAUAGAGAGUUAAACAGUACGUGAAACUGCUUAGAGGUUAAGCCCGAUGAACCUGAAUAUCCGUUAUGGACAAUUCAUCAUUAAAAUUGUAAUAUUUAAAUAACAUUAUGAGAAUAGUGUGCAUUUUUUCCAUAUAAGGACAUUGUAAUCUAUUAGCGUAUACCAAAUUUAUCAUAAAAUAUAACUUAUAGUUUAUUCCAAUUAAAUUGCUUGCAUUUUAACACAGAAUAAAUGUUAUUCAUUUGAUAAAGUGCUGAUAGAUUUAUAUGAUUACAGUACGUUAAUUUUUCGGAAUUAUAUAAUGGCAUAAUUAUCAUUGAUUUUUGUGUUUAUUUUAUGCACUUGUAUGAUUAACAAUGCGAAAGAUUCAGGAUACCUUCGGGACCCGUCUUGAAACACGGAGCAAGGAGUCUAACAUAUGUGCAAGUUAUUGGGAUAUGAACCUAAUAGCGUAAUUAACUUGACUAAUAAUGGGAUUAGUUUUUUACCGAUUUAUAGCUAAUUAACACAAUCCCGGGGCGUUCUAUAUAGUUAUGUAUAAUGUAUAUUUAUAUUAUUUACGCCUCUAACUGGAACGUACCUUGAGCAUAUAUGCUGUGACCCGAAAGAUGGUGAACUAUACUUGAUCAGGUUGAAGUCAGGGGAAACCCUGAUGGAAGACCGAAAUAGUUCUGACGUGCAAAUCGAUUGUCAGAAUUGAGUAUAGGGGCGAAAGACCAAUCGAACCAUCUAGGAGCUGGUUCCUUCCGAAGUUUCCCUCAGGAUAGCUGGUGUAUUUUAAUAUUAUAUAAAAUAAUCUUAUCUGGUAAAGCGAAUGAUUAGAGGCCUUAGGGUCGAAACGAUCUUAACCUAUUCUCAAACUUUAAAUGGGUAAGAACCUUAACUUUCUUGAUAUGAAGUUCAAGGUUAUGAUAUAAUGUGCCCAGUGGGCCACUUUUGGUAAGCAGAACUGGCGCUGUGGGAUGAACCAAACGUAAUGUUACGGUGCCCAAAUUAACAACUCAUGCAGAUACCAUGAAAGGCGUUGGUUGCUUAAAACAGCAGGACGGUGAUCAUGGAAGUCGAAAUCCGCUAAGGAGUGUGUAACAACUCACCUGCCGAAGCAACUAGCCCUUAAAAUGGAUGGCGCUUAAGUUGUAUACCUAUACAUUACCGCUAAAGUAUAUGAUUUAUAUUACUUGUGAUAUAAAUUUUGAAACUUUAGUGAGUAGGAAGGUACAAUGGUAUGCGUAGAAGUGUUUGGCGUAAGCCUACAUGGAGCUGCCAUUGGUACAGAUCUUGGUGGUAGUAGCAAAUAAUCGAAUGAGACCUUGGAGGACUGAAGUGGAGAAGGGAUUCGUGUGAACAGUGGUUGAUCACGAGUUAGUCGGUCCUAAGUUCAAGGCGAAAGCCGAAAAUUUUCAAGUAAAACAAAAAUGCCUAACUAUAUAAACAAAGCGAAUUAUAAUACACUUGAAUAAUUUUGAACGAAAGGGAAUACAGUUCCAAUUCCGUAACCUGUUGAGUAUCCGUUUGUUAUUAAAUAUGGGCCUCGUGCUCAUCCUGGCAACAGGAACGACCAUAAAGAAGCCGUCGAGAGAUAUCGGAAGAGUUUUCUUUUCUGUUUUAUAGCCGUACUACCAUGGAAGAUGGUGUCGAUAUAAAGGCAAGAUGGAGUGAUGAAGAGAAGUGGAUGAUGGCGAGAAAGGAGGUUGAGCUCACAGCAAAUGGAUGUAAACACAUAAACAAGCAACUAGCGGAGUAUUUUGCAAACCGCAGCGUCGAAGCCAUCAAAAAGCUAAGACAGAGGGGCGAUUAUAGAGAGAAAAU